rnacentral:rRNA from 1 species
AUUGAACGCUGGCGGCAGGCCUAACACAUGCAAGUCGAGCGAGCGGCGGACGGGUGAGUAAUGUCUGGGAAACUGCCUGAUAGCGGGGGAUAACUACUGGAAACGGUAGCUAAUACCGCAUACCAUCAGCUGUGCCCAGAUGGGAUUAGCUAGUCGGUGGGGUAAUGGCUCACCUAGGCGACGAUCCCUAGCUGGUCUGAGAGGUUGACCAGCCACACUGGAACUGAGACACGGUCCAGACUCCUACGGGAGGCAGCAGUGGGGAAUAUUGCACAAUGGGCGAAAGCCUGAUGCAGCAAUGCCGCGUGUGUGAAGAAGGCUUUCGGGUUGUAAAGCACUUUCAGCGGGGAGGCGGUACCCGAAGAAGAAGCAACGGCUAACUCCGUGCCAGCAGCCGCGGUAAUUC